UAGUUCCAUCCAGCAGUCAUCAAUGACAACGAAAUACCUUUGGCCCAUCAGAAGUUUGCGGAGUUGCUCUGCUAGCUGCUCAUCAUCUUUUUUGGAGAUUUCUU